AGGUGGGGCAGCCAGACGCUACGGAGGAGGAGGUGCAUGUGGCGCAGGAGGGAGAGGAGGAGGAGGUGCAGGAGAGGACGAGGCGCAGCAGACCGCCUCUGGUUCUGGUGCCUCUGGUUCGUCGAGCGUCUACUUGCGAGGUCCCGCCAGUCUCCCUAAGCGACCGAUACCUCGUGAGAGGCGCCCGUUGAUUCGACCCGAAGGGGAAAAGUCCUGGACGAUUGUGGAGAGUGCAGGUGCUGCUCACAAAUGCUCCGUCAAUGGCAUCCUGGGUCUUCUAUGCAGGGAACACUUCCCUGGCCUGGUUGAGUACGGUGGAGUGACGGAGCCGGCCUAUACGUUCGACCACUACGCCGCCGCCCCUGAUGCCGAAGAUCGGGAUGGCAGGGUAUUCAACAACAAGGCGGAGCGGGUGAAACAAGAGCUGUGGGAUUUCUUCAGAUGUGAGGAUGGAUUUCAGGACAAAGCUGAUGUGGUGGCUACCAAAGUCUGUAAGAAAUGAGUCGUGGAUAUGCACUAUGAGGCGCGUAUCCAGGCCAUUAUUAGUUUUCACGGCUCCGUUCUUGGAGAGAAGGUCACCAAAACGGAAGCAAGAACCAUGUCUUUGACUGAGGAGCAGUACUUGCAGAUGACUCCUUAUUGGUGCCUCGGGCAUCAAGAGUGCUAGCGACAGAUGGUGCAGAAGUGGUGCUCCGACGAGUGGGAGGAGUCGCACAACGCUUGUCGGGAGCGGCGUUUGAUGAUGCCAGGUGUAACACACCAUCAAGGCAGUCGCGGCCUCAGCGGAUACGCAGAAGCAUGGUCGUCGUCACAUGGUGGCCAGCCUUGCUCCCUCUUGAAGGCAUAUGCUAUGUCCCAUAAGGGCAAGGCGACGUUUGACGUCAACUACAAUCCGGAGGACGGGCCCGAGGCAUACAGUAACCUGAUGGUCCAUACCCGCCUCAGUGCGUACACAACGAUGGCAAGGGAGGUCCAUGGUCCAGAGUUUGAUUCGGCCAUCGAGGACCUUGACGGAGAAGUCAUCAUGAGGGUUGGAGGAGGUAAGAAUCAUGGGCGGUAUUGGAUUGCCAACAGCGCAAUCGACUCGUCCUCUACUCCUACUCUAUCUCAGAUUAGAGCAAGGAGAACGAGUGCGAGCCCAGGCAUACGACCUCGGCAAGACACUUCACAGUACCGGAUACAGGCACUCUAGGUCCAAUUAGAAGAAGAGAGGAGGUUACGUGUGGAGAACCAGCACAGGAUGAGGGAUAUGUUUGCCUACAUGCAGACUCUUGGUGCCGCAGCGGGUGUAGCUCCACCACCUUCGUUGUUCGCUU